rnacentral:rRNA from 1 species
GGACGAACGCUGGCGGCGUGCCUAACACAUGCAAGUCGAGCGAGGAGAUUCCUUCGGGAUGAUCCUAGCGGCGGACGGGUGAGUAACACGUGGGCAACCUGCCUCAUAGAGAGGAAUAGCCUUCCGAAAGGGAGAUUAAUACCUCAUAACAUUGCAGUUUCGCAUGGAACAGCAAUUAAAGGAGUAAUCCGCUAUGAGAUGGGCCCGCGGCGCAUUAGCUAGUUGGUGAGGUAACGGCUCACCAAGGCGACGAUGCGUAGCCGACCUGAGAGGGUGAUCGGCCACAUUGGGACUGAGACACGGCCCAGACUCCUACGGGAGGCAGCAGUGGGGAAUAUUGCACAAUGGGGGAAACCCUGAUGCCAGCAACGCCGCGUGAGUGAUGACGGCCUUCGGGUUGUAAAGCUCUGUCUUCAGGGACGAUAAUGACGGUACCUGAGGAGGAAGCCACGGCUAACUACGUGCCAGCCGCCGC